rnacentral:rRNA from 1 species
UACGUAGGGGGCUAGCGUUGUUCGGAAUUACUGGGCGUAAAGCGCACGUAGGCGGCUUUGUAAGUCAGAGGUGAAAGCCCAGGGCUCAACCCUGGAAUUGCCUUUAAGACUGCAUCGCUUGAACAUCGGAGAGGUAAGUGGAAUUCCGGGUGUAGAGGUGAAAUUCGUAGAUAUUCGGAAGAACACCAGUGGCGAAGGCGACUUACUGGACGAUUGUUGACGCUGAGGUGCGAAAGCGUGGGGAGCAAACAGG